rnacentral:lncRNA from 1 species
UUUGUUGCUCUCAUUAAUUCUGCUCGUCGUGGCGGUCGUGCUGCUCCUCGUCAGACGAAGCAGGAGGAGGACGAGGAAGAGACGAGACAGUCGUGCUGAGCAGCACAGCAGCACGGAUGGUAACGACGAUGUGGUCACAGCGGCAGUGGAGGCCUCGGAGGAGUCUGGCAGCAGGGAAACUGUUACCUUAGAGGAGAGCGAAUUUUGGAUCCGACCUGCAGGCUUACGGAAACAGCCGACCUCUCAUGGAUCACCUAAGUUCUCAAGAAGCCCUGCCUAUACAUCGUCCAGUUCACCGCUCCAGAAAGUUUCUGUUCCAUACCAGAGUUGCAGCGCUACUGUUCUUCAUAAUGCGAACACAGCCAGUGGAGUUCACGCCU